rnacentral:rRNA from 1 species
GUGGGGAAUAUUGCACAAUGGGCGAAAGCCUGAUGCAGCAACGCCGCGUGAGUGAUGAAGGCCUUCGGGUCGUAAAACUCUGUCCUCAAGGAAGAUAAUGACGGUACUUGAGGAGGAAGCCCCGGCUAACUACGUGCCAGCAGCCGCGGUAAUACGUAGGGGGCUAGCGUUAUCCGGAUUUACUGGGCGUAAAGGGUGCGUAGGUGGUUUCUUAAGUCAGAAGUGAAAGGCUACGGCUUAACCGUAGUAAGCUUUUGAAACUGGGGAACUUGAGUGCAGGAGAGGAAAGUGGAAUUCCUAGUGUAGCGGUGAAAUGCGUAGAUAUUAGGAGGAACACCAGUAGCGAAGGCGGCUUUCUGGACUGUAACUGACACUGAGGCACGAAAGCGUGGGGAGCGAACAGGAUUAGAUACCCGAGUAGUCC